CUCACAACGAAUCGAAAACCUUGCUGUGCUGACGUGUUUCUAAAUGGAAGAGGCCCUGUGCACACCAAGCGCAAGCUGCAGAAGCAGUUUUAAUAAAAAUGAAAUUGCUUCGCGCUGCCCCCUUUCACCUCGCAAUCCCCCCCUGCACCGUUUGUCCUUCCCCAGUGGACGCUUUGGUAAUCGCGGGUCUCAGACGCCAGGCAAUCCGGCGGAGGACCGGGCCCGGCGCUUUGUGACGGAGGGAGGCGGCUGGGUUAAACACCGGCCCUUUCCCCCCGGGGGGCGAGAAGGGGGCCAGGAGCUCAGGCAAAGCGAGACCCCCCUGACCACCUGCACAUCCACGUACAUAGUUGCUGCUGCCGGCAGAAUAUGCUGUCUUGUGUGUGCUGCUGCUGUGUGGGCUGUUGCAACGGACACCAGUAAUGAAGAUUUGAAAGAAGAAAUUUCUAGGUUUGCAUUAAGCUCUCAAAAACGCUGAAUGGGAAAGUCAUAGUUAUCAACCCCAUUCCGAUCUGUGAGACUCAGAGCUGCCCGAACUGUAACCGUCUGCUCCUCUGCAGAAGAAAAACAGAUGAUGAUCUUCAGAGCUGGGAGUGACCGAGACCUUGUUCAUCACGAAUACAUCAC
rnacentral:lncRNA from 1 species